UGCACUGUAUGGUAUCUACACUCAACAGUUAUUCCUGCUAGUGUGUUCAAAAGACAGUGCCAUAGAAAUUUGUCUGGCAUCAUUGGUUUUCAUGUCUCUGUGCAUGUUAAACCUGGUAUUUCUAUUAACACAUUA
ensembl:snoRNA